rnacentral:tRNA from 1 species
GCCAGUUUGGCUCAGUGGAUCGAGUGUCAGCCUGAGGACUGAAGGGUCCUGGGUUCAAUUCCCAUCAGUGGCA